AUUGAACGCUGGCGGCAGGCUUAACACAUGCAAGUCGAACGCCCACCUUCGGGUGGGAGUGGCAGACGGGUGAGUAACACGUGGGAACGUACCCUUUGGUUCGGGACAACUCUGGGAAACUGGAGCUAAUACCGGAUACGCCCUUUUGGGGAAAGGUUUACUGCCGAAGGAUCGGCCCGCGUCUGAUUAGCUAGUUGGUGGGGUAACGGCCUACCAAGGCGACGAUCAGUAGCUGGUCUGAGAGGAUGAUCAGCCACACUGGGACUGAGACACGGCCCAGACUCCUACGGGAGGCAGCAGUGGGGAAUAUUGGACAAUGGGCGCAAGCCUGAUCCAGCCAUGCCGCGUGAGUGAUGAAGGCCUUAGGGUUGUAAAGCUCUUUUAUCCGGGACGAUAAUGACGGUACCGGAGGAAUAAGCCCCGGCUAACUUCGUGCCAGCCGCCGCGGUAA
rnacentral:rRNA from 1 species